CAGAGAAAUCUUAAAUGGAAUUGGCGGGAGUACUUAAGGAGAAGAGACAGCGGCAGACGAGAGAGAGAGAGAGACACGUGAAGCUGUCUGUGUGGGUCUGUGUGUCAGAAGCGCAGGUGCUGAAAAGCAGCAUGACCUAUCCUUUUAAUGGGCUACAAAAAGGGAGGUGGGGAAGUAAUGGAGAGAGGGAGAAAGUUCUACCUGAGACAAUGAGGAGCUCUAUGAUCUCAGCAUCUCCGAGGAAGGCUGCUGCAUGAAGGGGAGCACGCUUCUCUGUAUCCUGAGAGAGAAUGAUAGACAGCUGGAGAGUGAGACAGAUUGACAAAGACAACAGCAGAGUUUGUUGCGCUUUAAUGCCAUGCAGUAACACACUGACAAAGUGAUUGAUGUAUGUCUUCAUGAAAUCAGAGACCCUCCCCUCAAAAUCCAAUCACAAGUGGUCAAAGGAGACGCAUUUAAGCAACC